rnacentral:ncRNA from 1 species
AACUCAGGAGAGUCUCUUCAAAAAAAUCCGAGGAAGAGCGCCGAAGGUGUACGCAGCAGUAAAGCUGUCAUUCUCUCAGGCAAAAGGAUGGAGGAA